AUUGGAGUCAACAAUUGUGGCUUUAAUAUUCAACAUAACGGUGCAGUGGAUAUUUCUGACAUCGACUUUACCCUUGAGAAUGGUGAUUCAGUGGUAGGAGAUACUUCAAGCAUCAAUGGAGAUGGAAGAAAUUAUAUUUCAGAUUACUUGGCAUUUUCCGACAUGAUUGUCCAAACAACUGAUGGUAGCAGUCCUCUUUUCUUCAGUGGAGAAAACAAUCUUUUUGAUUUCUUCCUUAAUGUUGAUUCUCAAGGGCCAACCUCCAAAAAUAGUACUCAGAA
rnacentral:lncRNA from 1 species